AACGAACGCUGGCGGCGCGCCUAAUACAUGCAAGUCGAGCGAGAAGACGUAGCAAUACGUUUGUAAAGCGGCGAACGGGUGAGGAAUACAUGGGUAACCUACCCUCGAGUGGGGAAUAACUAGCCGAAAGGUUAGCUAAUACCGCGUACGCUCCUUGGACUUCGGUUCAGGGAGGAAAGCGAUACCGUGGGUAUCGCGCUCUUGGAUGGGCUCAUGUCCUAUCAGCUUGUGGUGAGGAACGGCUCACCAAGGCUUCGACGGGUAGCUGGUCUGAGAGGACAAUCAGCCACACUGGCACUGCGACACGGGCCAGACUCCUACGGGAGGCAGCAGUAAGGAUAUUGCGCAAUGGGCGAAAGCCUGACGCAGCGACGCCGCGUGGGGGA
rnacentral:rRNA from 1 species